rnacentral:rRNA from 1 species
UACGUAGGGUGCAAGCGUUAUCCGGAAUCACUGGGCGUAAAUCGUGCGUAGGUGGCGCAUUAAGUGAGAUGUUAAAUCGUGUGGCUCAACCAUAUCGAUGCGUCUCAUACUGGUGUGCUAGAGUACGGAAGAGGCGAGUGGAAUUCCUGGUGUAGCGGUGGAAUGCGCAGAUAUCAGGAGGAACACCAAUAGCGAAGGCAGCUCGCUGGGACGUUACUGACACUGAGGCGCGAAAGCGUGGGGAGCGAACAGG